rnacentral:rRNA from 1 species
AUUGCCUAGUACGGCGAGUGAAGCGGCAACAGCUCAAAUUUGAAAGCUGGCUCCGGCCCGCGUUGUAAUUUGCAGAGGAUGCUUCUGGCGAGGUGCCUUCCGAGUUCCCUGGAACGGGACGCCAUAGAGGGUGAGAGCCCCGUAUGGAUGGACACCAAACCUGUGUGAAGCUCCUUCAACGAGUCGAGUAGUUUGGGAAUGCUGCUCUAAAUGGGAGGUAAAUCUCUUCUAAAGCUAAAUACCGGCCAGAGACCGAUAGCGCACAAGUAGAGUGAUCGAAAGAUGAAAAGCACCUUGAAAAGGGGGUUAAACAGUACGUGAAAUUGUUGAAAGGGAAGCGCUUGUGACCAGACUUGCGCCGGGCAGCUCAUCAGGGGUUCUCCCCUGUGCACUCUGCCCGGCUCAGGCCAGCAUCGGUUCUCGUGGGAGGAUAAGAACGGUAGGAACGUGGCCCCCCUCCGGGGGGGUGUUAUAGCCUGCCGUACGAUACUCCCGUGGGGACCGAGGUUCGCGCUCCGCAAGGAUGCUGGCGUAAUGGUCAUCAGCGACCCGUCUUGAC